AUUGAACGCUGGCGGCAGGCUUAACACAUGCAAGUCGAGCGGGGAAAGGUAGCUUGCUACCUGACCUAGCGGCGGACGGGUGAGUAAUGCUUAGGAAUCUGCCUAUUAGUGGGGGACAACAUCUCGAAAGGGAUGCUAAUACCGCAUACGUCCUACGGGAGAAAGCAGGGGACCUUCGGGCCUUGCGCUAAUAGAUGAGCCUAAGCCGGAUUGGCUAGUUGGUGGGGUAAAGGCCUACCAAGGCGAGGAUCUGUAGCGGGUCUGAGAGGAUGAUACGCGACACUGGGACGGGGACACGGCCCAUACGCCUACGGGAGGGAGCAGAGGGGAAUAGUGGACAAUGGGGGGAACCCUGAUCCAGCCAGGCCGCGUGUGAGAAGAAGGCCGUUUGGUUGUAAAGCACGUUAAGCGGGGAGGAGGCUACCGAGAUUAAUACUCUUGGAUAGUGGACGUUACUCGCAGAAUAAGCACCGGCUAACUCUGUG
rnacentral:rRNA from 1 species